rnacentral:rRNA from 1 species
GAGUUUGAUCCUGGCUCAGAUUGAACGCUGGCGGCAUGCCUUACACAUGCAAGUCGAACGGCAGCAUGAUCUAGCUUGCUAGGAUUGACUGGCGAGUGGCGAACGGGUGAGUAAUACAUCGGAACGUGCCCUGUAGUGGGGGAUAACUAGUCGAAAGAUUAAGCUAAAUACCGCAUACGACCUGAGGGUGAAAGUGGGGGACCGCAAGGCCUCAUGCUAUAGGAGCGGCCGAUGUCUGAUUAGCUAGUUGGUGGGGUAAAGGCCCACCAAGGCGACGAUCAGUAGCUGGUCUGAGAGGACGAUCAGCCACACUGGGACUGAGACACGGCCCAGACUCCUACGGGAGGCAGCAGUGGGGAAUUUGGACAAUGGGCGAAAGCCUGAUCCAGCAAUGCCGCGUGUGUGAAGAAGG